AAAUAGAUCCUGAAACCGUAUGCUUACAAAAAGUAGGAGCCUCGAAAGGGGUGACUGCGUACCUUUUGUAUAAUGGGUCAGCGACUUACAUUCAGUGGCAAGGUUAACCGAAUAGGGAAGCCGUAGAGAAAUCGAGUCCGAAUAGGGCGAAUUAGUCGCUGGGUGUAGACCCGAAACCAAGUGAUCUAUCCAUGGGCAGGAUGAAGGUGCCGUAACAGGUACUGGAGGUCCGAACCGACUAAUGUUGCAAAAUUAGCGGAUGACCUGUGGAUAGGGGUGAAAGGCUAAACAAACUUGGAAAUAGCUGGUUCUCUCCGAAAACUAUUUAGGUAGUGCCUCAAGUAUUACCGUCGGGGGUAGAGCACUGUUUUGGCUAGGGGGUCAUGGCGACUUACCAAACCAAUGCAAGCUCCGAAUACCGACGAGUACAGCUUGGGAGACAGAGCACCGGGUGCUAACGUCCGGACUCAAGAGGGAAACAACCCAGACCGCCAGCUAAGGUCCCUAAAAUUGGCUAAGUGGGAAACGAAGUGGGAAGGCUAAAACAGUCAGGAUGUUGGCUUAGAAGCAGCCAUCAUUUAAAGAAAGCGUAAUAGCUCACUGAUCGAGUCGUCCUGCGCGGAAGAUGUAACGGGGCUAAGCCAGUUACCGAAGCUGCGGAUUUGCAAUUUAUUGCAAGUGGUAGGAGAGCGUUCUGUAAGCCUGUGAAGGUGCGUUGUAAAGCGUGCUGGAGGUAUCAGAAGUGCGAAUGCUGACAUGAGUAGCGUUAAAGGGGGUGAAAAGCCCCCUCGCCGUAAGCGCAAGGUUUUCUACGCAACGUUCAUCGGCGUAGAGUGAGUCGGCCCCUAAGGCGAGGCAGAGAUGCGUAGUUGAUGGGAAACAGGUAAAUAUUCCUGUACCGAUGUGUAGUGCGAUGUGGGGACGGAGAAGGUUAGCUCAGCAGACUGUUGGAUAUGUCUGUUCAAGCCUGUAGUCGUGCCUGGUAGGUAAAUCCGCCGGGCUUAGAUGAGGGGUGAUAACGAGGAUGCUUGCAUCCGAAGUGAGUGAUACCCUGCUUCCAGGAAAAGCCACUAAGCUUCAGCUACACACGACCGUACCGCAAACCGACACUGGUGCGCGAGAUGAGUAUUCUAAGGCGCUUGAGAGAACUCAGGAGAAGGAACUCGGCAAAUUGACACCGUAACUUCGGAAGAAGGUGUGCCUUUAGUGUGUGAACCUGAACAAGGGGAGCAGAAUGAGGCCUCAGAGAAUCGGUGGCUGCGACUGUUUAAUAAAAACACAGCACUCUGCAAACACGAAAGUGGACGUAUAGGGUGUGACGCCUGCCCGGUGCUGGAAGAUUAAAUGAUGGGGUGCAAGCUCUUGAUUGAAGUCCCAGUAAACGGCGGCCGUAACUAUAACGGUCCUAAGGUAGCGAAAUUCCUUGUCGGGUAAGUUCCGACCUGCACGAAUGGCGUAACGAUGGCCACACUGUCUCCUCCUGAGACUCAGCGAAGUUGAAAUGUUUGUGAUGAUGCAAUCUACCCGCGGCUAGACGGAAAGACCCCAUGAACCUUUACUGUAGCUUUGCAUUGGACUUUGAACCGGUUUGUGUAGGAUAGGUGGGAGGCGUUGAUAUCAGGAUGCUAGUUCUGAUGGAGCCAACCUUGAAAUACCACCCUGAUUUGUUUGAGGUUCUAACCUUGGCCCGUUAUCCGGGUCGGGAACAGUGCAUGGUAGGCAGUUUGACUGGGGCGGUCUCCUCCCAAAGUGUAACGGAGGAGUACGAAGGUACGCUUGGCACGGUCGGACAUCGUGCCUAAAGUGCAAUGGCAAAAGCGUGCUUAACUGCGAGACCGACAAGUCGAGCAGGUGCGAAAGCAGGUCAUAGUGAUCCGGUGGUUCUGUAUGGAAGGGCCAUCGCUCAACGGAUAAAAGGCACUCUGGGGAUAACAGGCUGAUACCGCCCAAGAGUUCAUAUCGACGGCGGUGUUUGGCACCUCGAUGUCGGCUCAUCUCAUCCUGGGGCUGUAGCCGGUCCCAAGGGUAUGGCUGUUCGCCAUUUAAAGAGGUACGUGAGCUGGGUUUAAAACGUCGUGAGACAGUUUGGUCCCUAUCUGCCGUGGGCGUUG
rnacentral:rRNA from 1 species